UACUAUAGCUUGACACUGAACAUUGAGCCUUGAUGUGUAGGAUAGGUGGGAGGCUUAGAAGUGUGGACGCCAGUCUGCAUGGAGCCGACCUUGAAAUACCACCCUUUAAUGUUUGAUGUUCUAACGUUGACCCGUAAUCCGGGUUGCGGACAGUGUCUGGUGGGUAGUUUGACUGGGGCGGUCUCCUCCUAAAGAGUAACGGAGGAGCACGAAGGUUGGCUAAUCCUGGUCGGACAUCAGGAGGUUAGUGCAAUG
rnacentral:rRNA from 1 species